CCCGUGCAAAAUAUCCCCCAAAUCAGACCAAGUCCGUAACCUACCCGUGCCAGCCGCCGCCCUCGCACCCCAUCCCUAUCCCUCGUCCUCGCGCUCAACCCACGGCCCUGCCGCCGUCGCAGCCGUAUUCGCUCUCCACCCACGGUCCUGCUGUCGUCGCCGCCGUCCUCGCGCUCUAUCCGAGAUCGAGCCUCCGUCCUCCCGCUCCGCCCGAGAUCCAGCAGCCGUCGUCGUGCUCCACCCGAGAUCGAGCCGCCGUCCUCGCGCUCUGCCAAAGAUCCAGCCGCCGUCCUCACGCUCAGGGAUCCGCCCCCUCCCAUGAUCCCCGUCCUCCAACCCCCAACUUCGUCCUUCACAUGAUCCCUGGCGCUUCUCCCCUGUCGCCCCCGCCUCGGCCCCCAGCCCUACCACAAGCUCUCCAUCCAUGCUCCCCGUUCCUGCUGCCGCUGGUAGAGAUCCAUCCAAGAGCUCUCCAUCCCGCUGCGCCCCUCCCGAAGCCAGCCGUUUGUUGCUGCAGAUAUCCGCACAGACUCUUCUUUUCCAAUAGGAGUGGUUGUACAUGAUGUUGAGCUUGCAGGGCAGCAAGUAUGUGGUACUACCUGUCAACGAGGACGAGGAGGUGGGCGAGCGGAGGGCACCGAGAUGGACCCUCAGUCCAGUCAGCGUUUGAGGAGGCACAUUCCAAUUUUAUUCUCCAUCACUUUUGAAUUGCAUUGUCAUCUACACUAGAUAUUUAUGAAUAACGGUGUCUUCGUUUGAUAUAAUUUUUUAUGUGAGCAUGGUGUUGUUUUCUUUUUGCAUGAAUAUGGCAUUAGCAUUCAAACCUUAGGUUCAACAUAUACUCGUAUCUUCCUUUGCAUCCACAUACCUUCAACUACUUGAAGCUGCAUAUGGUUUCCAGAGGGGAGUUGCAAGUUCCUAUCACAUUCAAACCUUAGAGGCACCUUCUCAUAGUGCCUCACACCACAUUGUUCGGACAUGUGAAUUCAAAUGGUAGAGUCAGCCGCCUCGGUGCAGUGGCUAGAUAGUUCCAGAAUUCAGACUUUUAAUGUACUUUUAUGAGAUGUUCGUGUUCAUUCUGGUUGAUGGCGUAAUUUAUGUUCUUUUGACAAGUUCAUUCAUUAUACUAACCAAGUACGUAACUUGUAGACCUUUGGCCUUUACUUUAUGAUUUAAUUUAUGGGAAGUCGAGUUAUCUAUAUUGAACACAUUUUUUGUAGGAUGGUUGACACAUGUCUACACAUUUUGUUAGAGCAAUUUGCAGUGGAAGAAAUAGCCUCAAACUGAUAAGAAGGCAACGGUUAUUUCUAUGAAGUAACGUUUAUUGUUGUAGAUCAAGGAUGACAAGAAGGCAACUAAUGUACCAGGUGCAGGUAAUCAACAACCUAGUACGCAUGGAUGUGAUGACUUUGAAGUGUUCUGGAGCAUUUGGCUGUCUGCAGUAUUUUGGACCAGACAACUUAAUUAUAAUCGUGAAUCUUAUGUGUUUUCUGGACCAUUUAUUGCUCAAGUGUUAUGGAGUAGAAAUCUUGUGCUCAUGGAUGUUACUCAAUUAUUUGGACCAUUUAGUGUUUGAACUAUUUUAGACCAGCGAAUAGAGGUCCUUUUAUGUGACUUGUGUUUUCUGGAUGGUUGCCAAGAUGGCCAAACUUUGCUUUUGUGAA